GGCUGGCUCUUGACGAGCCUUUGGAUGGGACCCUAUGCGUCAGUCUUAGGAGCAUGUGCUUCAGAGGCCAGUGCCUGGAUUCACAGCUUCCAUCCAACACUGUGGUCUGGGCCUUCUCCCCUGAGUGACCUUGGACAAGUUACAACUCUGAGCUUCAGUUACCCUGUCUAAUUUAUUAACUGCAUAUUUGAAUACUGAAGCUGAUUUGCUUAUUAACCACCUCAGCCUCCCAAACAUCCAAGAAAACAAUCUGAGCCAUGAAGCCAGACCACUGGAUGGCGACGAAGACUGACAGGUUGCAGCCCCCCAGAUGGAGCAGGAACUGGGGCUGGGCCCAGGUCCAGGCGUAGCAGCUCUGGAGGAGAUGUAAUUCGUUGAGGACUACAGAAAAUGCCACCAGCCAAACCACCCCGUAUCAGUCUUUCGUCCACAGUUAGUAUGUGAGCUCUACACAGUGAAAUGGAGUUAGUUGGCCGAAAGCAGUCUGUUACCAUGAUUGAUUUUUGAAAAAGGCCUUGUGAGGUAGGCAUGGCAGGCAUUAUUGCCCCCAUUUCACAGCUGAGCAAACAGAGUUUCAGAGAGGUUUGGUGGAAGUCCUGUCUGUGAUGAUUUGGGGAGAACCUGGGCUUCUUUUACAAAUCCCCAGAUUUCCAGGGAAUGUUUCCUUACCUACCCACUCCCUCCCCAACCCCAGUCACACAACAAAGGACACAUGGAAAUAAGAGAGCAGGUCAUCCGUGAAGCCAUCCGAUGUAGUCCCUUUGUUAGAGGUGACAGAGCCCUAGCUCAAGAAGCAGCGUCUGGAGAGAACGAGAGAGAGGACGGAACUCAGAGAAUUUACAAGGACUGCCAAGAAUGAGACCUGCGUAGCAACCCUCCUCCCAGUUUUCAACUAUACCUGAGCGUUAGGAUAGAAGGCGCUGACAUCAGCGUUGCCAUGAUCUUGCAUGAUAUUUUUACAGUGCAGGCUCCCUCCUGCUGCCUACCUGGAUCCCUCUUCCGUGUCUGAAUUGUCCCAAAACACAGGAGCCCAAGGGCUUUUAUUUUUUCACUUGGAAAGCAAAUUGUAUCCUUUAAAUAAUUUGGAAGACUGUCUAGAGACAGUGCUUAAUUCAGUAAUUAAUUUAUAUAGCAGUUUGCACAUUUUUGUUUUCUGCUGACAAGGAUCUGACAUGUUGGCAGCUUCCAAUUAGUGUAAACAUGGGGAGUGGUUGGGAUACAUUGCUCUGACGUUGUAUUGUCACAAGAGAGUGGCUGCUCGGAAACUGAUGUUACUCUCUCUGGAAAAAUCAUUGCUACUGAAAAAAAAUAAUCUUUUUACUCCAUCUAUACAAAUGUGUGAUCCCCCUAAACUGACUUUGAAAUCAGAAUUUUUAACGUUAAUUAGUGAUGCGGUGAUAACAACCGGAGCUGUAACAUCCUGUGGUUGUGAAAGCCGGUCAUUGCCUUGGGCUCAUGACCCUGAGGCGAUCUGCAGGAAGCUUUCUCCUUUUCCUUUCAUUUAGCAUCAGACAAAGAUCUUUAAAGCAUCCCAACUGUAUCUUUCUCUGUGUGUUGUGUGAAGAAGUGUAGAAGGCUGGUUUGGCUUGGGGCAGGAGAGGAGCUGAAUGGGAUGCUAGGACUGAGGUCAAGUUGCCCAGGGCAAGUGCAGAGCAGAGGGCUUGUAUCCAGGCCACUCCUCAUCCACCUUUACCCUCAGGCAGCAGGUUCCCUUCAGAGCCUGCCCCCAAAUUGCUGUUUACAGCAGGAACACGCUGAUGGAUGUGCUGUUCACCAUCCAGCCUUGCUGUUGCUAGGAUGUUGCUAGCGUGGAUGGCGGUAGUGGGAAGAAUUCACAAUGGCUCUG
ensembl:lncRNA